rnacentral:tRNA from 1 species
GGGGUAGUAGCUCAGUGGUAGAGUGCAUGCUUAGUGUACACAAAGUCCUGGGUUCUAUCCCCAGUAUCUCCU